AAAAAUGAUAUAAACUUGAAAUGAUCUGAUUUUAAAAGACAAAUUCAAAUAAGAAACCGAGUAACCCAAAAAUUUGAGAGGAUAAACAAAUGGAGAUCUUGGUGGGGUUGGGGAUCUCGAAUACAUGGUCUCUAAUGUAAUCACUUGCCUCAGAAAAAAUUACUUCUGAAUUUCUGCAGACAACAAUGUACAAUGUACUGUUGCAGGCCCAUUUGCCCGGACCCAAGAAAGAAACAAAAGAACCCAUACCAGCAGACCCACCAACUCCGCCGUUCACUUGCUGGCCGCCGCACGUCCCAUCGCUGCUCACCUGCUCCACCUGCUCUGCCGCUCCCAUGCCACUUGCGCCUGCAAUGACAGAAAGGAAACAUCUGCAAGCAAAAAGAUAUGAUAAAAAUAAUGUAAAAAUGGCCAUAAAGGGGGGGAACCGAACGUUUUGUAGGGAGGGCCUUUUUUUGGAGAAACAUUUUAGAAAUCAAAAGCAAAAACAAGAGAGUUCCAAAGGUUGAGCAUCACCAUUCCCGCUUAGUUUUUUUUUACUUAUCGUUAUCAUUUCUAUUUUUAUAAGUCUUAUUUUUAUUUUUCUUAAACAAAAACUUAUAAUAUCGUAAAAGAAAAAGGAAAAUGGGAAGACUAAACUCACCUGCAUCGGCCCCUAAAUUCGGCGUCGUCAUCGGCUCUUUGCCGUAGCCGAACGCGGGUUAAGGAAGGGGCAGAGGCCUUCCGUUUUAUCCUCGUUUCCCUGUUUCAGAGCCUUGGUCUCUAAGCACGCCCCAACGCGCUGGUGGGAGACGCCCUCGCAUGGCUCCGGCCAUUGGGCAGUGAGGAGGCGUGAUGGCGGUGGGGUUCCUAGCCUUGGAACCCUAGCAGAGAAAAGGGAUUUUCCCUUUAUUUUAUUUUUGUGUUCUUUGCAGCAAAAUGAAACUGCAGAAAAAUGUAAAAUUUUUAGCUUUUAUGUUGAUUAAAGCGGCGCCGUUUGAAAGAGGGAAAACCUGCGCACUCUUGCCCUAAUGGGUAAUUUGUGCCUUUGGUCCCUCUAAUCUUGCGGUGCAUUCAAUGCUGCCUUUUGUUUAAAUUUAAUUUUGGCCACAUAAUUUUGCUUCUGUUUCAAUUUGGUCCCUAGACCAUGCGCUUGUAUUCCCCUAGAACGGCACCGUUUCAGUGAUGUGGGAGUAUUUCAUGUUUGGUCCUCAUUCUUUUGCAGCGUGUUUUAAUUACUUUUCUUAUUUGUAAUUUGAGCCCUUAAUUUUAUUUUUGAUUUUGAUUUAAUCCCUUUCAUUUUUUUUUAACUAUUAAUUUUUGUUUUAUUUUUAUUUUCAUUUAUCUUUAUGUAUAUAUGUGUACGUUAUUUUAAUAUGUGCU
rnacentral:lncRNA from 1 species